UACGGAGGGUGCGAGCGUUGUUCGGAAUUACUGGGCGUAAAGCGCGUGUAGGCGGCCUUCUAAGUCUGGUGUGAAAGCCCGGGGCUCAACCCCGGAAGUGCAUUGGAUACUGGGAGGCUGGAGUACCGGAGAGGAGGGUGGAAUUCCUGGUGUAGCGGUGAAAUGCGUAGAUAUCAGGAGGAACACCAAUGGCGAAGGCAGCACUCUGGGACGUGACUGACGCUGAGACGCGAAAGCGUGGGGAGCAAACAGG
rnacentral:rRNA from 1 species